UGUAGUCAUAUGCUUGUCUCAAAGAUUAAGCCAUGCAUGUCUAAGUAUAAGCAAUUAUACAGCGAAACUGCGAAUGGCUCAUUAAAUCAGUUAUCGUUUAUUUGAUAGUACCUUACUACAUGGAUAACCGUGGUAAUUCUAGAGCUAAUACAUGCUGAAAACCCCGACUUCGGAAGGGGUGUAUUUAUUAGAUUAAAAACCAAUGCCCUUCGGGGCUUACUGGUGAUUCAUGAUAACUUCUCGAAUCGCACGGCCUUGCGCCGGCGAUGGUUCAUUCAAAUUUCUGCCCUAUCAACUUUCGACGGCUGGGUCUUGGCCAGCCGUGGUGACAACGGGUAACGGAGGGUUAGGGCUCGACCCCGGAGAAAACGCCUGAGAAACGGCGUUUACAUCCAAGGAAGGCCGCAGGCGCGCAAAUUACCCAAUGCCGACACGGCCAGGUAGUGACGAGAAAUACUGAUACAGGGCUCUUUUGGGUCUUGUAAUUGGAAUGAGUACAAUUUAAAUCCCUUAACUAGGAACAAUUGGAGGGCAAGUCUGGUGCCAGCAGCC
rnacentral:rRNA from 1 species